rnacentral:lncRNA from 1 species
GAGGCUGAGAUUGCAACCCCUGGGGGCAGGGCCCUGCCUUUGCACGUCCCAUUCAAUUCCAGGGGCUCGGCGGUGAACCGAGAAAAUCAUCAGGUCCCCGCUGCGUCGGAACUGGGGUCCCCAGUCGCGGGCCGGGCGGGAGGAGCUGCGACCGCCUGCGCGGUUCCUGAGCCCGCGGGCCCCGGGCCCUCGGGUCCCCAAGCCCUCGGGGGCGCCCUCCGCCCCCGCCCCCGCCGCCCAGCGCAGCCGCGCAGUCGGGCCGUUAGACGCGGCGCCACCUGCCCGGCGCGGCUGCCGACCCCUCGCCCGGGGCGCAGGCCCCGCUCCCGGCACCUGCGGCCGCCGCGCCCCCCGCCGCGUCCCCGCCGCGCAGGGGCUCCCUCCUGGGGAGGGGACGGGACGGGACGGGAGGGGGAGGGGGGAGGGGCCGGGCCGGCGGCACCCGCGCCCCAGGCCGCGCCCCAGGCCGCCCCCCGCCCGCCCUCCGGCCCUGCGGGCGGCACUUACGGGGCUCCCCUGCUCCGGCGCGCGCUGCCCGGGGGGCCAUGGCUCUUCCGGACCCGCGAGCCCGGCCGCUGCGCCACUCAGCACCGCCCAGAAAAUGGACGCCGGCGGCUCGGCUCCGGCGGCCCGGCCCGCCCCCGGCCGGCCCGACCGUCAGCCCGCGGCCCGGGGCGCCGGGGAGCGUCGCGCGGAGACCAGGCCCGGCGGCGGCGGCGGCGGCGGCGGCGGGACCCGGGCGGGGCGGGGCGGGUUGGGGGCCGCACGCCGGGCCCGCGAGGCCCAGCCCGCACCUGGCGCGGCGGGGGGGGGUCCUGGCGGGGCCCGGGCUCCGCCGCAGGGGCUGCGGGGGCUGCGGGGGCUGCGGGCUCCGCCCCCUCCCGGGGACGGCGACGGCCCUGCGCGGACCGCGGCCUCCCGCACUUCGGAGCAAGGCCCGGGGCCGCCGAAGGGACCCCGGGGGCCGGAUCUCAGAGGGCGCCCGUACCCAGGACUCGGAGAAAGUCCAGGGCAGGAGUGGUGCGUCACCUGUGCCUUCCCGUGGCCGUCGGGGGAGGCCUGCAUCCACGGCCCCAGCCGGCUAUUAAAAAGCACUUCACGCAAAGACCCAGUCCUCUCCUCCACAUAACGCGCCCUGACUGCUGGCAUCUUUCUUCCAAGAUUCAGGGGCUGCUCGUUGAAAAAGUAUUUACUGAGGCCUGCCACAGUUUGCCUUGUGGAGCUAUGAGCCUCGUGCACUAA